rnacentral:rRNA from 1 species
AACGAACGCUGGCGGCAGGCCUAACACAUGCAAGUCGAGCGGACCCUUCGGGGUUAGCGGCGGACGGGUUAGUAACGCGUGGGAACGUGCCCAAAGGUACGGAAUAGCCUCGGGAAACUGAGAGUAAUACCGUAUGUGCCCCUCGGGGGAAAGAUUUAUCGCCUUUGGAUCGGCCCGCGUUGGAUUAGGUAGUUGGUGGGGUAAUGGCCUACCAAGCCGACGAUCCAUAGCUGGUUUGAGAGGAUGAUCAGCAACACUGGGACUGAGACACGGCCCAGACUCCUACGGGAGGCAGCAGUGGGGAAUCUUAGACAAUGGGGGAAACCCUGAUCUAGCCAUGCCGCGUGGACGAUGAAGGCCUUAGGGUUGUAAAGUCCUUUCAGCUGGGAAGAUAAUGACGGUACCAGCAGAAGAAGCCCCGGCUAACUCCGUGC